rnacentral:rRNA from 1 species
AUUGAACGCUGGCGGCAUGCCUUACACAUGCAAGUCGAACGGCAGCGGGCCCUUCGGGGUGCCGGCGAGUGGCGAACGGGUGAGUAAUGCAUCGGAACGUACCCGGGAGAGGGGGAUAACCGGCCGAAAGGCUGGCUAAUACCGCAUGAACUCGGAAGAGCAAAGCGGGGGACCUUCGGGCCUCGCGCUCUCGGAGCGGCCGAUGUCCGAUUAGGCUAGUUGGUGGGGUAAAGGCCCACCAAGGCGACGAUCGGUAGCGGGUCUGAGAGGACGAUCCGCCACCUGGGGCCUGACACGCGGCCCAGACUCCUAGGGGGGGCCGGUGGGGGAACUUUUGGACAAGGGGGGAAACCCUGCACCGGAAAUGCCGGGGGGGGAAAGAAGGCCUUGGGGUUGAAAAGCCCUUUGGGGGGGAAAGAAAUCGGGAAGGGGAAGGGUUGGGCCGGAUGAGGGUCCCUGCGGAAGAAGCCCCGGCUAAUUCCGU